CCGUCGCCUGCAAAUUUCACAAAUCACAGAUAGCCAAGCCUGCAUAUUUUCAUCAUCGCCGACCAGAACAUAUCGCAAAUCAUAGAAUAAGCAUCCCAGAUCAUGGAUUACAGCAGGAAAAAUCACAAAAAAAUCACGAAAAAAAGCCGAAGCUCUCCAUAGCCUGAUCCAGCCACAUCGCCCUCCAUGGCAGUAUGGCGGCAGAGGAGAGCGCCUCCCUCCAUGGCAGCAGCUCCUUGGUCGAGGGUAGGGAACGCCAGAUCCGCGCGUCGAGGUGGGGGGAGGCCGGAUCCGGCGAUGUAGAGGUUGGGGAACGCCGAAUCCAUUCCUGGAACAAACACUGCCGAGAAAUCAAUCGCAGAGAGAGAGAGCGACAGAGAGAGAGAGAGACUUACCGGAGGGAGAGAGGGUACUGGCAGGAGAGAGGGUACCGGCGGCAGUGCGGCGCGGGUGGCGGUGGGGGAGGCCGGAUCCGGCGAUGUAGAGGCCGGGGAACGCCGAAUCCGUCCCUGGAACAAACACGGCCGAGAAAUCAAUCGCAGAGAGAGAGAGAGAGAGAGAGAGAGACUUACCGGCGGGAGAGAGGGUAUCGGCGGCAAUGCGACGCGGGUGGCGGCGGGGGAGGCCGGAUCCAGCCGGGUCGGCGGCGCGUGGAGGCGGACGUGAUGAUGGCCAGCGUCGAUGACGCGAAGCAGGGAGGAGGGCUCGAAGCAGGGAGGAGAGAAGAGAAGGGCGGAGGACUCGGCCGGAGUCAAUCACCCGCGGCUAGAUCCAGAGAAGGGAGGAGAGAGUUUGGGGGAGAGGAGAGAGUUCGGUUGAGACUUGAGAGAUAUCGUUGGAGAGAGGGAGAGUGUGUGGCGGC
rnacentral:lncRNA from 1 species